rnacentral:tRNA from 1 species
GGGGUUUUAGUUUAAUAAAAACAUCUGAUUUGCAUUCAGAAAAUGUGGGGUAAUGCCUGCAGAUCCUA